CGAAAGGGGAGAUUCAACGCGAAUCGGAGUACGCGAGCGGCGCGUGCCGACGACGGGCUCUGCCCCGUUUCGGUGGCUGGCCCGCUCCGCGCGUCCGCCGAUCGGACACCGAACGCGUGCACUUCUCCUCCUGUAGGACGUCGCGACCCGUUGGGCGCCGGCCUAAGGACCGCGGUGGAGACCGGACUCGCCCCCGGGCGAGUGCGGACCCGCGGCCACCCGGCCGGUCCGACCGACGGUAUAACUAAGGCGCGGGGCCGCGAUUCGUUCGCGUCCGGCACGUCGCAAGCGCGAACGGUUAAAGCGGGCCGUCCGGGCCUCGUACCGGAUCCCGACCCGUUCGGCUGUUAGCGGCGCAGUCCUCGGACAGACCCCGCGCCAGUCCGCGGCGCUAUAGCUUUGGGUACUUUCAGGACCCGUCUUGAAACACG
rnacentral:rRNA from 1 species